rnacentral:rRNA from 1 species
UACGGAGGGGGCUAGCGUUGUUCGGAGUUACUGGGCGUAAAGCGCACGUAGGCGGCUUUGUAAGUUAGAGGUGAAAGCCCAGGGCUUAACCCUGGAAUUGCCUUUAAGACUGCAUCGCUAGAAUCGUGGAGAGGUGAGUGGAAUUCCGAGUGUAGAGGUGAAAUUCGUAGAUAUUCGGAAGAACACCAGUGGCGAAGGCGACUCACUGGACACGUAUUGACGCUGAGGUGCGAAAGCGUGGGGAGCAAACAGG